CCUACGGGGGACAGCAGUGAGGAAUAUUGGUCAAUGGGCGAAGGCCUGAACCAGCCAAGUCGCGUGAGGGAAGACUGCCCUAUGGGUUGUAAACCUCUUUUAUAAGGGAAGAAUAAUGACUACGUGAAGUCAGAUGCCCGUACCUUAUGAAUAAGCAUCGGGUAACUCCGUGAAAGCAGCCGGGGUAAUACGGAGGAUGCGAGCGUUAUCCGUGUGUAGUGGGUUUAAAGGGUGCGUAGGCGGUAUUUUAAGUUAGUGGUAAAACGUCGGGGCUUCACGAUGAUUGGCAAUUAAAACUGGAUUACUAGAGUACAGACGAGGUAGGCGGAAUAAGUUAAGUAGCGGUGAAAUGCUUAGAUAUAACUUAGAACCUCGAUAGCGAAGGCAGCUUACCAGACUGUUACUGACGCUGAAGCACGAGAGCUUGGGUAGCGAACAGGAUUAGAUACCCCGGUAGC
rnacentral:rRNA from 1 species